UGGGGAAUAUUGCACAAUGGGCGCAAGCCUGAUGCAGCCAUGCCGCGUGUAUGAAGAAGGCCUUCGGGUUGUAAAGUACUUUCAGCGGGGAGGAAGGGAGUAAAGUUAAUACCUUUGCUCAUUGACGUUACCCGCAGAAGAAGCACCGGCUAACUCCGUGCCAGCAGCCGCGGUAAUACGGAGGGUGCAAGCGUUAAUCGGAAUUACUGGGCGUAAAGCGCACGCAGGCGGUCUGUCAAGUCGGAUGUGAAAUCCCCGGGCUCAACCUGGGAACUGCAUUCGAAACUGGCAGGCUAGAGUCUUGUAGAGGGGGGUAGAAUUCCAGGUGUAGCAGUGAAAUGCGUAGAGAUCUGGAGGAAUACCGGUGGCGAAGGCGGCGCCCUGGACAAAGACUGACGCUCAGGUGCGAAAGCGUGGGGAGCAAACAGG
rnacentral:rRNA from 1 species